rnacentral:lncRNA from 1 species
UUACAUAUGGUGCUGAGAAUCAAAUCCAGAACCUCACACAUGCCAGGCAAGGGCGCUCCCGCUCAGCCCCAGCCCCAGAACCUCAUUUUUGUAGUACUCUGUUCAUUCGUUCAUUCAUUCAUUCACUAAUCACAGCAUUUCUAUGACCCUCACAAUGUAUCAGGCACUGUGCUAGAUUCUGGGAGACAAAAAUGAAAUAUGACUGCUUUCCUCAUAAAAAAAGAAUAAACAGCCUGUGUAAUGGUGCAUAAUCCUGGCUACUCUGGAGGCUGAGGCAGGAGGAAGACAAGUUUGAGGCCAGACUCUGGAACUCAGCAAGACCUUGUCUAAAAUAAAGAUAAGAAAGGAUUCAGUCUGGGCACAGGGGCAUACACCUAUAAUCGGGAGGCUGAGGCAGGAGGAUCAUAAGUUCAAAGUCAGCCUCAGCAAUUUAGCGACCCUAAGCAACUUAGUGAGACUCUGUGUCAAAAUAAAAUACAAAUACAAAAUAGGGCUGGGGAUGUGGCUCAGUGGUUGAGUGCCCCUGGGUUCAAUCCCUGGUACCCCUCCCCCCCAAAAAAAAAGAAAGAAAAAGACUGGGGAUGUAACUCAGUGGUAGAGCACUGCUGCGUUCAAACUCCAGUACUACCAAAAAAAAAAAAAAAAGAAGAAGAGGAGGAGAAGGAGGGACUGGGGAUAUAGUUCAGCUGGCAGAGUGCUUGCCUUGCAUGCCCAAGACCCUGGAUUCAAUAAAAUAAAUAAAUAAACUUUUUGAGAUAGAAAGGAUCUCAUCUGAAUCAAUUUUUCAUUUUAUAGAGUGAAAGUGACUUGUUCAAGGCCACUAGGAAAGUGAUGGCAGAAGCAGGAUUUGAGAUAAGAGUCCCUUGACUACUAGAAAAGUGCUCUUUUCACUACAUUUUGAAACUCUGUAGGUGCUUCUUUCCACCCAGUAUCUCCUUCCCACUUCCUGAGUGCCACAAGCUCCAGUCCCUAUCCUUGGAAACGCCAAAACUACAGAGGGAAAUGGCAUCAGGAUGCAGAGGGACAGUGACAACUCCUUUAGAGAUGGUGCCUUAGUCACAAGUGCUAGAAGAGGAAGAACUAGAUUUAACAAAUAAGCUUUGCUAUCCAUCCUGUUCACAUUACCCUGAAAGCCAUAUUUUACCAGUCCCACUUUCUAUCCUGAUCAGAGUCCAAGGACCUGUAGGGGUAGAUUAUGGUUGUCU